rnacentral:misc_RNA from 1 species
GAUCAUUGUUGUAAAACUCAGCAGCCUCUGGGCUCCGUUCACUCGGGCCUAGAGCUGCGAUCCACAAACCAAACACACCUGUGCACCUAUGAAUUUUUUUCACCAAACGCAAAGUAGAUCAUUGAAUGUUUACAAAAAUCCUUCGAAGGAAGGUGAAAGUUAAAUACAACUUUCGGCAACGGAUCUCUAGGUUCUCCUAUCGAUGAAGAACGCAGCGAAUUGCGAUAAGUAAUUGUGAAUUGCAGAAGUCAGUGAAUCAUCGAAUCUUUGAACGCAUCUUGCGCCCUUUGGUAUUCCUUAGGGCAUGCCUGUUUGAGUGUCACGAGCAACCUUUAAACCUCGGGUUUUUUCAUUAAGACCUGCCUGGGUUUAGUCUUGAGCGCCUGCCCUGUCAAAGGGGCUCGCUCUAAAUGCAUUAGCUGGAAGCACCUUUCCAUAUGGUCGCCUGCUCUUUCUUUAAAGUAGUGGGGCGGACUGUCAGCGUGAUAAUUGUCUUGCUGGUGGUCUACCUCUACGAAAUUCAGAAAUUACCAAGAGCGGAUGUGCCGGAUAGCGUCUUUCGCUUCUAACCAAGGGAGCCGGUCCUGUCAAGGAUCGCGCUCUGCACUAUUUGACAUCUGGCCUCAGACAGGUAGGACUACCCGCUGAACUUAAGCAUA